rnacentral:rRNA from 1 species
GGGCUUCACACGUCAUACAAUGGUCGGAACAGAGGGUCGCCAACCCGCGAGGGGGAGCCAAUCCCAGAAAACCGAUCGUAGUCCGGAUUGCACUCUGCAACUCGAGUGCAUGAAGCUGGAAUCGCUAGUAAUCGCGGAUCAGCAUGCCGCGGUGAAU